CUUACUAUUAUUAGAGUAUUAGAUUCGCUACACAACCAACUGUUGAGAUAUUGGGAUAGUACAGGGACUAAACCCAUACAUUUCGUAAAGCAAGUUGCAAUAUGGAAAUAGUACAGGUACUAUCCAUACAUUUUACUGAACGUAAAAUGCGAAAUUGCAAGGGGGAUUUGAGAAUUUUUGUAUUCGGAGGGAAAAUAAAAACCCGUGAACCCGGUUUAAGUAAUUCGCCCAUGAACCAAGCAGAACAACCAUGGCGUCCCUUCUCCGUCCUCGCUAUUUCCCUGCGCCUCCUCUUCACCUCCCGCGCCUCCUCUUCUCCCCUCGUUUUCGACGAACGAAACCCCCCUUCUCCUUCUCUUUCUCUAUCCCCACUCGCUUUUGCUCUUCUUCUCCGCUUAAUGCAACGGAGCACCCCGCGCCGACUCCUCCGGGCCCCUCUAAAUCGGAUCUAAAAUCUGGAUUGUAUCUUGUAGCAACACCGAUAGGCAAUCUCGAAGAUAUCACCUUGAGGGCAUUACGUGUCCUAAAAUCUGCAGAUGUGAUACUUUCAGAAGACACAAGGCACUCUGGAAAGCUGCUUCAACAUUACCAUAUUAAGACACCUCUUCUUAGCUAUCACAAGUUUAAUGAGUUUGAACGCCAAACCUCAAUCUUAAAGAGACUUCAAGAAGGAGAUAUUGUUGCAUUGAUUAGUGAUGCUGGUACUCCAUGCAUCAGUGACCCAGGCAUGGAAUUGGCAAAGUUAUGUGCUGCCGAGAAUAUCCCUGUAAUUCCUAUUCCUGGACCAUCUGCUUUGCUUGCUGCUCUUUCUGCAUCUGGACUACCCACUAAUGAGUUUACAUUUGUUGGAUUUCUACCCAAGCAUGCUGCGUCAAGAAGAGAGAGACUGAAGAUUUCUGCUAAUGAAACUGCAACACAGAUAUUCUUUGUUCCGCCUCAUAAAAUUCACCAAUUUCUUGAAGAAGCCUCAUCAAUUUUUGGUGAUACAAGGUCAUGUGUUAUUGCAAGGGAGAUGACCAAAAUACACGAGGAGUUUUGGCGAGGCAAUCUGGGUGAAGCCUGCGAAGCUUUUUCAGCUCAACAACCAAAGGGAGAAAUCACCCUUCUAAUAGAUGGAAAGGAGAAACCAGCUGAUGAAGCUCCAUCUGAAGACCACCUUGAGCUUGAACUAAGAGAAUUGAUCUCAAGUGGCCAUAGCCUUUCCAUGAUCAGAAGCACUUGGUCUUUUUCCGGUUCCUUGACACCUUGUAGUUUUGGCAUUUCUCUUAUCUUUAUGGGAAUAUUUCAAAUGCAAACUACAGGCAGUGAAAAUGGUUUCUGAGGGAACAUCGGCAAAAAGGAAAGAUGUAUAUGCACUUGCACUGAGGCUGUUCGGAAAAUAAACGGAAGCUAGGAUGCAGGUACCGGAGACAAAGUAUGAUGACAUUUUUUUAACGGCUCGCACUUCCAAUCAAGUUUAAGAAGGUUUACAGGUACCGGAGACAAAGUAUGAUGACAUUUUUUUAACGGCUCGCACUUCCAAUCAAGUUUAAGAAGGUUUACAGGUACCGGAGACAAAGUAUGAUGACAUUUUUUUAA